rnacentral:rRNA from 1 species
GGGUCUAAUACCCGGAUAGGACCCAUGGGUUUAGUGUCCUCAUGGUGGAAAAGAUUAUUGUUUUGGUGCAGGAUGAGCUCGCGGCCUAUCAGCUUGUUGGUGGGGUAAUGGCCUACCAAGGCGUCGACGGGUAGCCCGGCCUGAGAGGGUGGACGGCCACAUUGGGACUGAGAUACGGCCCAGACUCCCUACGGGAGGCAGCGGUGGGGAAUAUUGCACAAUGGGCGCAAGCCUGAUGCAGCGACGCCGCGUGGGGGAUGACCGGGCUUCGGGUUGUAAACUCCUUUCAUUAGGGACGAAGCCGCACCUUUUUUUGGGUGUGGUGACA